rnacentral:rRNA from 1 species
GACGAACGUUGGCGGCGUGCUUAACACAUGCAAGUCGAACGGAAAGGCCCUGCUUUUGUGGGGUGCUCGAGUGGCGAACGGGUGAGUAACACGUGAGUAACCUGCCCUUGACUUUGGGAUAACUUCGGGAAACUGGGGCUAAUACCGGAUAGGAGCUCCUGCUGCAUGGUGGGGGUUGGAAAGUUUCGGCGGUUGGGGAUGGACUCGCGGCUUAUCAGCUUGUUGGUGGGGUAGUGGCUUACCAAGGCUUUGACGGGUAGCCGGCCUGAGAGGGUGACCGGCCACAUUGGGACUGAGAUACGGCCCAGACUCCUACGGGAGGCAGCAGUGGGGAAUAUUGCACAAUGGGCGGAAGCCUGAUGCAGCAACGCCGCGUGCGGGAUGACGGCCUUCGGGUUGUAAACCGCUUUCGCCUGUGACGAAGCGUGAGUGACGGUAAUGGGUAAAGAAGCACCGGCUAACUACGUGCCAGCAGCCGCGGUGAUACGUAGGGUGCGAGCGUUGUCCGGAUUUAUUGGGCGUAAAGGGCUCGUAGGUGGUUGAUCGCGUCGGAAGUGUAAUCUUGGGGCUUAACCCUGAGCGUGCUUUCGAUACGGGUUGACUUGAGGAAGGUAGGGGAGAAUGGAAUUCCUGGUGGAGCGGUGGAAUGCGCAGAUAUCAGGAGGAACACCAGUGGCGAAGGCGGUUCUCUGGGCCUUUCCUGACGCUGAGGAGCGAAAGCGUGGGGAGCGAACAGGCUUAGAUACCCUGGUAGUCCACGCUGUAAACGGUGGGUACUAGGUGUGGGGUCCAUUCCACGGGUUCCGUGCCGUAGCUAACGCUUUAAGUACCCCGCCUGGGGAGUACGGCCGCAAGGCUAAAACUCAAAGGAAUUGACGGGGCCCCGCACAAGCGGCGGAGCAUGCGGAUUAAUUCGAUGCAACGCGUAGAACCUUACCCGGGUUUGACAUGGAUCGGGAGUGCUCAGAGAUGGGUGUGCCUCUUUUGGGGUCGGUUCACAGGUGGUGCAUGGCUGUCGUCAGCUCGUGUCGUGAGAUGUUGGGUUAAGUCCCGCAACGAGCGCAACCCUUGUUCACUGUUGCCAGCACGUUAUGGUGGGGACUCAGUGGAGACCGCCGGGGUCAACUCGGAGGAAGGUGGGGAUGACGUCAAGUCAUCAUGCCCCUUAUGUCCAGGGCUUCACGCAUGCUACAAUGGCUGGUACAGAGAGUGGCGAGCCUGUGAGGGUGAGCGAAUCUCGGAAAGCCGGUCUCAGUUCGGAUUGGGGUCUGCAACUCGACCCCAUGAAGUCGGAGUCGCUAGUAAUCGCAGAUCAGCAACGCUGCGGUGAAUACGUUCCCGGGGCU